CAUGGGCGAGCCUGAUGCAGCCAUGCCGCGUGUAUGAAGAAGGCCUUCGGGUUGUAAAGUACUUUCAGUUGUGAGGAAGGGGGUAACGUUAAUAGCGGUAUCUCUUGACGUUAGCAACAGAAGAAGCACCGGCUAACUCCGUGCCAGCAGCCGCGGUAAUACGGAGGGUGCGAGCGUUAAUCGGAAUUACUGGGCGUAAAGCGCAUGCAGGUGGUUCAUUAAGUCAGAUGUGAAAGCCCGGGGCUCAACCUCGGAACUGCAUUUGAAACUGGUGAACUAGAGUGCUGUAGAGGGGGGUAGAAUUUCAGGUGUAGCGGUGAAAUGCGUAGAGAUCUGAAGGAAUACCAGUGGCGAAGGCGGCCCCCUGGACAGACACUGACACUCAGAUGCGAAAGCGUGGGGAGCAAACAGGAUUAGAUACCCUGGUAGUCCACGCCGUAAACGAUGUCUACUUGGAGGUUGUGGCCUUGAGCCGUGGCUUUCGGAGCUAACGCGUUAAGUAGACCGCCUGGGGAGUACGGUCGCAAGAUUAAAACUCAAAUGAAUUGACGGGGGCCCGCACAAGCGGUGGAGCAUGUGGUUUAAUUCGAUGCAACGCGAAGAACCUUACCUACUCUUGACAUCCAGAGAAGCCAGCGGAGACGCAGGUGUGCCUUCGGGAGCUCUGAGACAGGUGCUGCAUGGCUGUCGUCAGCUCGUGUUGUGAAAUGUUGGGUUAAGUCCCGCAACGAGCGCAACCCUUAUCCUUGUUUGCCAGCGAGUAAUGUCGG
rnacentral:rRNA from 1 species